AUAUAGACAUGUAUUUUUCAUAAAUAUACCACUUCUCAAGAAUAUUUAUACACAUCUUUUUAAUAAGACUCAAUACUGGGAACAAUCUUUUCUACUGAACAAGCUAAAUCAGUUUGUUGCAGCACAGAACGUUCAUCUACAGGAAUUAUUGCUAUCAAAUUUGGAUUACGUGGACUUUGAUAAUAUAGAUUCUGUAAACAAUAUGUGAUAUUUAAAUAAAACUCAUAGAAUAUUUGCUAAUAAAAAAACUUAACUUUAUAUAUAAUCUAAAUAUUUGUAAUAAACUCUUUUCUUUAUAAUUGUAUUCAUUGCUACCAUUAUUUAAACUAUUAUUCAAGCUACUUGUGUCUCUCAUAUUGUAAACAACAAAUACUGAAAUAUUAAUUUUGAUUAAUAGUUCUCGACAAAAUAAACUAAAAUUUCAUCAAAAUUCAAGAUCAAAUAAUGUGUAUAUUAUAUUAGAU
rnacentral:misc_RNA from 1 species